CUCUGUUUCUAAAGGAAUCAGGGCAAAAAGGAG
rnacentral:ncRNA from 1 species